rnacentral:rRNA from 1 species
AUCUAUCGGAGAGUUUGAUCCUGGCUCAGGACGAACGCUGGCGGCGUGCCUAAUACAUGCAAGUCGAGCGGACAGAUGGGAGCUUGCUCCCUGAUGUUAGCGGCGGACGGGUGAGUAACACGUGGGUAAC